AUGAAAGACAUCCUGCGCGCUUAGUACAGAAAUUUGGUUAAUACCUUAUAGAUUACUUCAAAUUCCUGUGAAACUUUACUUAAAGUUCUGUCGAGUUUCCCAGUAGUCCAGUGACUUUACUUUAUAUGUUCUGAAGAAAUCUUGUGGAGUAGUUUUUCCACAUAAUUCCUUUUGACCCCUUUUAGAAGUCUUGUGAAUGUCUCCUCAAAUUUCUCGAAGGUGUUCUGCGAACUAUUUUUUAGCGGUACCUAUUUUACGACUGUUUAAAAGUUAAAAAAAAAAUAACAUUCACUGUAAGUUCUGGUAUUGUGAUCGUCUCUAAUAAUGUAAACCAUGAAUUGUCAGAAGAAUUAUCAGGCUCUACAACCAUUGAACACUUAUGUGAAUAUUCUUUACAAUUGUUAGGGUUAAUAGAUUUAAAAGACAAGGCUAUGCAAGGAAAAUGAACAUGUGGCUAAUGUGCCAAAACAUAUUUUUGACGGCUUUUUGAUCAGUAGAUAUUGAAAUAUUUAAACAAUUACAAUACCUCAUAAACAGCAAACGUUGAAUGUCUAACCAAUAUUGGUUUUGAUUGCAAUUCCACCGAGAGCAUUGCUUCCACCCGUCACUGCAACUUCCUAUAAGUAUCGAAAAGAAUACCUAAGAAAGCACACGACCAGAGAGUACUGAUAAGAGGAGUAGGUUACUACCGUGUAUUUAGUCACUAUCUCAAGUCUUGAGAGCAAAAAGUGUGGCCGAUCCGACGUCACUAUACUACGCGUAUCCAAUGUUUACUUCGAUAGAUAUGAUUACCGACGAUAGCGCGGAUUGGUUUGCGAUUCACACGGCAGCGCCUACUGAGUGGUGGCUGAUACAGCGCUGCACACGACUCUUUCACAGUCAUCAAACGCUUACUGCGAUUUUUCUUGUUGUUCAUGUCGGGUGAACACAGAGGAUAAUUCCUAUAAAAGUUAACACCUCGAUCGAGAAGGUAUCAUUUGGAAGAUUGAAACUAACCGAAUAGUUCAAACAAGUAAUUAGCGAUCUAUAAGCUCGUUCGUGAACCAUAUCCAAAGGAAAAUUACCAAUAUUAAAUCAAAAUGCCGUGCAAGUGUUGUAGUAAUGAUUGCAGAUGCACCGCUGAUUGCGGACAGGGCAAACCAUGCACUGCCGAAUGUAACUGCAACUGUGACUGCAAGAAGGAAACCGGCAAGGAUUGCUGCGAGUCAGGAUGCUGCAAAAAGUGAACCGCAUACACGUGUUGGACGAUAGGAGCAGCUAAAUUUGUGAUAGUGCGAAUUGAACAAUCGGUCAUAAUAAAAAUUU